GAUGAACGCUGGCGGCGUGCCUAAUACAUGCAAGUCGAGCGAACGGACGAGAAGCUUGCUUCUCUGAUGUUAGCGGCGGACGGGUGAGUAACACGUGGAUAACCUACCUAUAAGACUGGGAUAACUUCGGGAAACCGGAUCUAAUACCGGAUAAUAUUUUGAACCGCAUGGUUCAAAAGUGAAAGCCGGUCUUGCUGUCACUUAUAGAUGGAUCCGCGCUGCAUUAGCUAGUUGGUAAGGUAACGGCUUACCAAGGCAACGAUGCAUAGCCGACCUGAGAGGGUGACCGGCCACACUGGAACUGAGACACGGCCCAGACUCCUACGGGAGGCAGCAGUAGGGAAUCUUCCGCAAUGGGCGAAAGCCUGACGGAGCAACGCCGCGUGAGUGAUGAAGGUCUUCGGAUCGUAAAACUCUGUUAUUAGGGAAGAACAUAUGUGUAAGUAACUGUGCACAUCUUGACGGUACCUAAUCAGAAAGCAACGGCUAACUACGUG
rnacentral:rRNA from 1 species